AGAUUGAACGCUGGCGGCAGGCCUAACACAUGCAAGUCGAGCGGAUGAAGAGAGCUUGCUCUCUGAUUCAGCGGCGGACGGGUGAGUAAUGCCUAGGAAUCUGCCUGGUAGUGGGGGACAACGUUUCGAAAGGACGCUAAUACCGCAUACGUCCUACGGGAGAAAGCAGGGGACCUUCGGGCCUUGCGCUAUCAGAUGAGCCUAGGUCGAUUAGCUAGUGUGAGUAUGGCUCACCAAGGCGACGAUCCGUAACUGGUCUGAGAGGAUGAUCAGUCACACUGGAACUGAGACACGGUCCAGACUCUACGGGAGCAGCAGUGGGGAAUAUUGGAACAAUGGGACGAAAGCCUAGAUCCAGCCAUGACCGCGUGUGUAGAGAAGGUUCUACGGAUUAGAAAGCUACGUUUAAGUUGGGAAGGUAAGGAC
rnacentral:rRNA from 1 species